rnacentral:rRNA from 1 species
UGGGGAAUAUUGGACAAUGGGCGAAAGCCUGAUCCAGCCAUGCCGCGUGUGUGAAGAAGGUCUUCGGAUUGUAAAGCACUUUAAGUUGGGAGGAAGGGCAGUAAGCGAAUACCUUGCUGUUUUGACGUUACCGACAGAAUAAGCACCGGCUAACUAUGUGCCAGCAGCCGCGGUAAUACAGAGGGUGCAAGCGUUAAUCGGAAUUACUGGGCGUAAAGCGCGCGUAGGUGGUUCGUUAAGUUGAAUGUGAAAGCCCCGGGCUCAACCUGGGAACUGCAUCCAAAACUGGCGAGCUAGAGUAGGGCAGAGGGUGGUGGAAUUUCCUGUGUAGCGGUGAAAUGCGUAGAUAUAGGAAGGAACACCAGUGGCGAAGGCGACCACCUGGGAUCAUACUGACACUGAGGUGCGAAAGCGUGGGGAGCAAACAGG